UCAAGAUGUUCGCUGCUGUCCGAGUGGAUUCAAAAGAUCAACAUAGUGUCCACACAAGUCGAACCACUGUGCUUUGUGCACUUCCUGUGCUGCUGAGAGAAGACGCCUCAAGAUUCUCCAAAAUAUGUGGGGGCUAAAGAUUCAGAAGAGCCAAACAUUGGAUAUUUACCAGUUGCCCUGUUAACAGUGGUCAGAGAACUCACAGAUGCUGCAAUUCACUACAGUCUGGUCAGAAACUGUUCAUUGUUCUUGAAAGUGAAGUCAUCACUUACCUGCCCAGGCUUUUCAGAUUUCUUUUUACAUUUGGACUGAUUUAUGCAUUGAAUCUGAGUUACCCAAAAUAGUUUUAAAGACAGGUGGCUUUAUAAGGUUUUAACGCUGAAGGAUGUGCAGCACUAAUGCAGCUGUAGACAACUUAAUACAAAGCAUAUUCAUGAUUUUGAAAACAUGAUUUGUUUAAGUUGUAUAAAUAUAUUAAGUUUGCAGAACUUUAAAUUUUGA